rnacentral:rRNA from 1 species
UACGUAGGGCGCAAGCGUUGUCCGGAAUUAUUGGGCGUAAAGAGCUCGUAGGCGGCUUGUCGCGUCUGUUGUGAAAGCCCGGGGCUUAACCCCGGGUCUGCAGUGGAUACGGGCAGGCUAGAGGCAGGUAGGGGAGAACGGAAUUCCCGGUGUAGCGGUGAAAUGCGUAGAUAUCGAGAGGAACACCUGCGGCGAAGGCGGGUUGCUGGGCUGAUACUGACGCUGAGGCGCGAAAGCCAGGGGAGCGAACGGG